GGCAAAAGCUCAAAUUUGAAAUCUGACGUUCAUUCGGAUGUCCGAGUUGUAAUUUGGAGGAGCGUCUUCGGGAGCAGACACCGUCCUAAGUUCUUUUGGAACUGGACAUCACAGAGGGUGAGAAUCCCGUGCCUGGGCGGCAGUCUGUUUCCAUGCGAAGCGUUUCCGACGAGUCGAGUUGUUUGGGAAUGCAGCUCAAAACGGGUGGUAAAUUUCAUCUAAAGCUAAAUACGGGCGAGAGACCGAUAGCGCACAAGUAGAGUGAUCGAAAGAUGAAAAGCACUUUGAAAAGAGAGUUAAAAAGUACGUGAAAUUGUUGAAAGGGAAGCGCUUGAGAUUGAACCUGGAAGGGAUGGCAGACUGGUAGCGGCUCUUUGGGCCCCCUACCUUUACAAACCGCCAUCUCACUCCCAGGCCACCAUCGGUUCUGACGGCGAGAAAAACAGCCAGGGAAUGUGGCUCCCCUCGGGGAGUGUUAUAGACCUAGCCUAUUUGCGCCAGCCGGGACCGAGGAAUGAGCGAGCUCUGGGUUAACCCCCCAGGAUCUCAAGGAUGUGUGGCAUGUUGAUCUUAAGCGACCCGUCUUGUAUACAGUGAAAC
rnacentral:rRNA from 1 species